rnacentral:rRNA from 1 species
AUUGAACGCUGGCGGCAGGCCUAACACAUGCAAGUCGAACGAUGGGCGGACGGGUGAGUAAUGUCUGGGAACCUGCCUGAUGGAGGGGGAUAACUACUGGAAACGGUCGCUAAUACCGCAUACCAUCGGAUGUGCCCGGAUGGGAUUAGCGAGUAGGUGGGGUAAAGGCUCACCUAGGCGACGAUCCCUAGCUGGGCUGAGAGGAUGACCAGCCACACUGGAACUGAGAAACGGUCCAGACUCCUACGGGAGGCAUCAGGGGGGAAUAUUGAACAAUGGGCGCAAGCCUGAUGCAGCCAUGCCGAGUGGAUGAAGAAGGCCGUCGGGUUGUAAAGUACUUGCAGCGGGGAGGCGUUACCCGCAGAAGAAGCACCGGCUAACUCCGUGCCAGCAGCCGCGGUAAUAC